CACUGGUACCACAUGUACGCCUCGCUCAAGCUCGGCCUCGGAUCGCACAAGGAGAGCACACGCAAGAAUGCAC
rnacentral:SRP_RNA from 1 species